GACGAACGCUGGCGGUGUGCUUAACACAUGCAAGUCGAACGGUAAGGCCCUUUCGGGGGUACACGAGUGGCGAACGGGUGAGUAACACGUGAGUAACCUGCCCUCAUCUCUGGGAUAACAGUCGGAAACGGUUGCUAAUACUGGAUAUGAGCUUGCAAGGCAUCUUGUGGGUUGGAAAGAUUUUUUUGGUUGGGGAUGGACUCGCGGCCUAUCAGCUUGUUGGUGAGGUAGUGGCUCACCAAGGCUUCGACGGGUAGCCGGCCUGAGAGGGCGACCGGCCACAUUGGGACUGAGAUACGGCCCAAACUCCUACGGGAGGCAGCAGUGGGGAAUAUUGCACAAUGGACGGAAGUCUGAUGCAGCAACGCCGCGUGCGGGAUGACGGCCUUCGGGUUGUAAACCGCUUUCAAUUGUGACGAAGCUUUUUGUGAUGGUAGCAGUAGAAGAAGCACCGGCUAACUACGUG
rnacentral:rRNA from 1 species